UACGUAGGGUGCGAGCGUUGUCCGGAAUUAUUGGGCGUAAAGAGCUUGUAGGCGGUUUGUCGCGUCUGCUGUGAAAAUCCGGGGCUCAACCCCGGACUUGCAGUGGGUACGGGGCAGACUAGAGUGUGGUAGGGGGAGACUGGAAUUCCUGGUGUAGCGGUGAAAUGCGCAGAUAUCAGGAGGAACACCGAUGGCGAAGGCAGGUCUCUGGGCCGAUACUGACGCUGAGGAGCGAAAGCGUGGGGAGCGAACAGG
rnacentral:rRNA from 1 species